CACUGUCUGAUAUUUGCUCCCGUGGCUGCAGUGCUAACCCGAGAUCACAGUCAUUUCGCCACACCUCAUCUGUCAACAGUUAUGCUCUCACCCGGAAAAAUUAAACAAAAGAUAGCUGUUUGCUUUGCCGUGGACUUUGUGGUUUGGACUGGUGGUUAUUUCUGGCCGUUGUCUUAUCAUGGAGGCAGCUUACAUGAACAUGAGUCUGUUUUCCUACACCAGUGCACCCCUGAGUCUGCUCCGCUUCGUGCUAGCAGUAGCUCCAUCUGGAAUGUGCUGGCUACAGCUGAGUCUAAAGCACAGGGGUCACCCGUGAUCUGACUCCAUUUCACUUGGUUCAGGGAACAACAAAGAAAAGGGGGUCUGCCAGAAAAGAGAGUGGUCUGAAAAACCAUGAUUGUGUAUAGGAGCCAGCGAACUAGAAGAAGAGGGAGUCAAGAAGGAGACCGUGUUUGUUCCUGGCUGCUCCAGCGGAGCCCCAUGAACAGAGAGCACUGUGCUGUGGCUCUUCUCCAAAAAGGACCAUCUGUCCCCCCCAAAACUGGGCCUAGCCACACCGGCCCUCUCUGCUAUGGGAGACAGAAAGGGACGUGCAGGGUUGAUGUGGCCCAGCAGGCCUCCAGAAUAAACCACCACCUAUUUCCAUCAGCACACAUCCCCCCUCUGCUGCUUCCCAGCAGCCUGCUGCUUACCCAGCUACUUCCAUACCAAUGACAGCCUGUCAGCAGAGUGCACUCUCUCAGUAGAAAGAAAACAAGAGGAGGAGGAGAGAAAUGGUGAGAAGAGCAUUCUCAUCUCGCAAAAGGCAAGCUGUGAAAAGAGUUGUGAGGAGUUCAGAUUGAAAGCACUGAGAACCUUUAAGCUUCUGUUCCUCAGCUGAGGUCAGUCAGAGUCCAGAUUGUCACAUUAUCACUGAGCAACAGUGCAGCAGAGGAGGGAAGUAGGUAAGCUGUGUGACACUGUUAAGACGGAGACGCACACACAUCAAUCAAGGAGCAGAAUUUAUACAAGCUGACUGAACUCAGAAUGUUUCAGUGCACGGACCAUCUCUCCCUCCUCUUACUCACUUGAGUGGUACUCCUUUUUCUUUUCAAAGUUUGGUUUUCACACUUGGCCUGGUGUUGCUGACAGAAAUCUGGCGUAAGAGAGACAAUCUGGACUUCUGGGCAGCAGCUGGAGGCUCCACAGCUGACACAGAAUAAAGUUUAGUCGACCGGAAGAUGCAAGGGGGGAAGAUAACUGUAAGGAGGACAGGAGUAGGCACAGAUACACAGAUGAAUCACUCAUUUAUUCACCUCAGAAGAACUUCUUGUGCUGCGUCUGCCAGAAACACACACUCACAAAUUCCUCUUCUGAUACAGACCACAGGCUAGACUACUCAUACAUACCAUUGUCUGCAAAAUAAAACUUCCCUCGCUUUAUAGAAUGCUUAUCCUGCACAUAAAUGCUGGUAAAACUGAGGUCAGCCUGCAUUAUUUAGCCUUUACACUUUUCCAUAUUAGGCCAUUACAUGAAAGUCCAAUAUCAGACAUCAACAGUUGCCAUGCUUACCUGAUUAAGAGAGUCCUUUUUCAUCACAGCCAUAAAUCCUAAGAGCAGAGGACACAAAGCCCUGUGAGCCACUGUGGUAAUGAGCCCACUGUGGAGAUGCCAUCCAAGUGCAUUAAAUCCAUCAGCCACUUGUUGAGUACAAGCCACCCAAAAACACACAGGGGAGAGAGAAAUCCACCACACUUCACAGCAGAAAGCCUCUAAAAUAAACACCGGCGCCACAACUCUUCCUUCUGCUCCUUUAUCCAAUAACUAGUUUGAGCAAGAAAAUGGAGAAAGACAGAAAAAAAACUAAGGAGAGAGUAAAAUAAGGACGAGUCUGGCAGCCAUUGGGGAGUCAAUUUAGCGAAAUGCAUACAGCUGCCCCUUAAUGCACACAACCCUCUCCCUCCCCCUGUGACAAAGCCACCAACAGCUGAAUGAGACUGAAACAUUAGCAUAUGUAAGGGAAAGUAGGUGGCUGUUCUGGGUGGUGGGGGGAGAAGGACUGCUGGGUGUUGGUGGUUGGGGGGAGGGGUGGACCAUGACAUUCAGAGCUUCUAUGGACUGACAGGAAGGACAAGAAAAAAAGAGGGGGAAAAGCUAUUGUUCCCGCGGAAAAAGAUGCCCAGGUCAAGCCUGUGACCUUCCAAGUUCCUUGCGAUGGCUGACAUUUGGAGCGGCGGCGGGAGAUAGAGGAAUCCACUUAUCUGCUCCCUCUCCUAUGAACUACAGCGUGGUACAAAGGUCUGUCUGACAAACAGAGCAAGCAGCAACCAUGACCACCUUCAACACACUGAGAUAAGAGGAGAAAGACAUGACCAGAGAGGGGAAUUGCCCUUCUUUCAAAACUUAUAAUCCUUCAAUCCACAUGCCAUAUGCUGAGCCUGCAUAUUUCUACCUUCAGCAGGGGCAACAGACAGGGGGGCAAGGGAGAAAGCAUGGGAGAAAGAAAGGACUUAACUCUGCAUGGUGCUACUCUCCAGUACUUCACUGCAAACAGCUCCAGGUUUAAGGGCCUACAUACACACAAGCCAAAGAAGUAGCACCAACCCAGACUGACUGAUGUGCUGCCUCACAUCUCCUGAUAAAACCACACUGCAAAGACUACAGCUGACUGCAAGAUGACUGCUGGUAUUCAUGUGCGCUCUGCGCCUGCCUGGAAGGAAAUAAUAAGCCAGCGGUCUAUUAAAAAGUUGCAAAUGGCAGUGUCAGGCAAUGCUUUGCCUUGCUAUGCACUAACAAUGUCAGUCCUGGUUGUUUGCUUGUAGGAGAAGAGAGGAAGAGGUGAACCCAUUAGAAACUGGUGAAAACAAAAACAACCAGACACAGCUGAGCCAUCACUGAACGAUUAAACAGUACAGCACCGAUUCUUUUUUAAAUCAAACUCAUUCUCUUCUUAUUAUGAUUCACAGUGGUGUGUUCUUGUUUUUUGUAUUACAUAUACAGUUUUCUGAGUGCUUAUUUUCUCUUAUGCAAGUGCAAGUCAGCUGCCUGUAAGCUGCGGUCUUUGUGGUGUUCAAACUCAAAUCCCAGACAUCAGGCAACGUCAGUCGUCAUUAAGUGUUUGAUCAGUUGUUGUUUGCUGAUACUAGUUGUUUGAGGUCGGUGUGGUGUGUCACAGCUCUGACAUGGAGUUAGUGAAGCAGACUUGUGACUGUGAGUGUUUAUGGUUUUUAUCUGUGAACUGUGAUGAAAUGUGGGUGUGGAGACUGAUAAAAACCUUCUCAGCAACCACUGAGGCACCUUUGAGGAAGAUGCCGUUAACCUUCAAAAACAGCCAAAACCAGAAGACUGCAGUUAUGCUGUGCAACUACCAGGUAUGAAUAUGUGUAAGCAUGUUAUUUCUGAGGAAGUCAGCCAUAUUUGGACACGAAGAAGUUAAAUAAAGAUCAACUCUGUGGGGUAAUUGAGCUUUGAUGAUAUAUUUCUCCCCUUGCAUAGUGCAACAUAAUUGAGUUUCACAGAGCUUAAUUGGAAAAACACUAAAACAGUGUCAUUCUAACCACUUCCUGAUGACUGCUUUGCUCUGUCUGUUUCUGGUUGGAGGUAGGAACAUGUUAAUAGCAGGAAAUGACAGACUUUAAUCAAGCUGAAUGAAUGGCAGCAAGUACAGGUCUUUGUGCCACAGAGUGCUUUGAUCCAGCCUCUGCUCGCAGGUUCGCAGCUUUGAUUUGAGUUGAGGGGAAGGAAAAGAGUUUUAUUUGAAGAGUGGGAAGCCCCAGGAGGUAACACUUAACAGUUCUUGUCACUGCAUCCCAGCAAACAGACAAACUAUUCAUCAGCCUACACACAUGUGCAGCGGGGCCUGUGGAGGAACACACAAUCCCACAAACACCGCUCGUUUGCACAUGGACGACUGGUCUGAUGGGUAAUUUACAUACCAAGGGUAGUCAUUACACAAACGGAUACACAUAAAGACGACCUACAUUCACAAACACUAAAAAAACAUCGUUCACAGCUCAUGUUUCAAAUGUUGUGGAGAGAUUUGACUCAU